GAUGAAGAACGCAGCGAAAUGCGAUAAGUAAUGUGAAUUGCAGAAUUCAGUGAAUCAUCGAAUCUUUGAACGCACAUUGCGCCCCUUGGUAUUCCGAGGGGCAUGCCUGUUCGAGCGUCAUUACACCACUCAAGCUAUGCUUGGUAUUGGGCGUCGUCCUUAGUUGGGCGCGCCUUAAAGACCUCGGCGAGGCCACUCCGGCUUUAGGCGUAGUAGAAUUUAUUCGAACGUCUGUCAAAGGAGAGGAACUCUGCCGACUGAAACCUUUAUUUUUCUAGGUUGACCUCGGAUCAGGUAGGGAUACCCGCUGAACUUAAGCAUAUCAAAAGCGGAGGA
rnacentral:misc_RNA from 1 species